rnacentral:rRNA from 1 species
UGCCCACUGAUAAUUUAUUAAAGGGCUGCAGUAAUUUGACUGUACAAAGGUAGCAUAAUCAUUAGUCAUUUAAUUGAUGACUUGUAUGAAGGAUUGGAUGAGAUAUAAACUGUCUUAAAUUUAAAUUAUAGAAUUUAAUUUUUUAGUUAAAAAGCUAAAAUAAUUUAAAAAGACGAGAAGACCCUAUAGAGUUUAAUUUUAAAAUAUCUAAGAAUUUUUUGUAAAUUUAAAGGUUUAUAUUUAUGGAAAAUUUUAUUGGGGUGAUAGAAAAAUUAAAAUAACUUUUUUUAAAAAUUAAACAUAAAUAAAUGGUUAUAUGAUCCAAUUUUAUUGAUUAAAAGAAAAAAUUACCUUAGGGAUAACAGCGUAAUUUUAAUUUUUAGUUCAUAUAAAAAUUAGAGUUUGCGACCUCGAUGUUGGAUUAAGAUAAAAUUUAAAUGCAGAAGUUUAAAAUUUUGA